UCUUGUAGUUUGAUGUGAAUGUUCAUGCCAUGUGUGCUCUAGUUGAGUUCCAAACUCUUAGUAUGAACCAGUUAUAUCUAUGUUAGUAGGCAAGUUCAAAAGUCAGACAUAUAGUAAGAGUCAUUCUCUAAUUUUAGACUCCAUACCUAUACUUUGUGUUUGAGUGUUUUAAUCCAUGUGUUAAGUUUGCUCCUUGUGUAUUCCUUCAAAUGUUAAUGAAGGGUAAGAGUCAUUCUCUAAUUUUAGACUCCAUACCUAUACUUUGUGUUUGAGUGUUUUAAUCCAUGUGUUAAGUUUGCACCUUGUGUA
rnacentral:lncRNA from 1 species